UGCAUUUAAAGAUGUAGAAUUAUUCAAUUUUUUUUUUAUGAUUAAGUGCUGGCCAGAAUUUAACAAAAGUGAUGGCCCUCUAACACUCCUAAGUGGAAAAUCAUCAUUUGAAGCUCAUGAUUUACAAUAAGAGGUGCAAAGAAUAACAAUACACCCUUAUAUAUAACAAAUUAACAACAUAUCCCCAUUUUUCAAACAAACCGAUCAGUGUAAUACAUGAAUAAGUUGGAUCAUUAAAAGAAUACAAAGAAACUAACAGGAAUCAAAAUGAUCUGGGCUUGGCAACAAUGGUGGAAUGCUUGAGA
rnacentral:lncRNA from 1 species